rnacentral:lncRNA from 1 species
AGGGCCUCCUGGGCAGUCCUGGGUGGUGGGGGAAGCAAACUGGCAGGGUAUAUGGGGACUAACAUCACCAAAUUGCCUUGAAACAUGGGGACUAACGUCACCAAAAUGCCUUGAAACCCAGUCCAUGUCCCAGUUGUCCCCACCAUGUAGGAGAAAAGUGGGGAAUCACUGCUAUCCCCAGUUAGUGAACUUCUGCCAGGACUCCUCCCUCAGCUUUCUGGUGCCUGCGGUGUUGUGUUGCCCCACAGCUCCCAUCUGGAAAAGAUUUUGGCAUGUAGGCACGUAAGUUUGCCUGGGAGAAAGUUGGCCAUCCCUCUUUGUAGGGCAAGAGUUCUCACAGAGACUUGUAACACCAUGGGAGCCCAGGACUGCUGCAGGAACGGGGCUGCUGGAGGGAAAAACAAGUGUGCAGGCUUCUCUGAGUGCUGCUGACUGCUGUCUGGGACAGAAUGCCUUGGUCUCAGACUCUUCGGUAAAGCGGCUAAAUCGUCAUCAAAAUUGUUUCCCAACGGGAACCGGGCGCUUCCGACAAGUGCCAACAGCGGCGGUGCUGUUUGCUCCGGUUUUCAGAGCAAAACCCCGCAAAACGGAGCCAGUGUCGCCAGGUGGAUGGAUGGAUGGAUGGAUGGAUAGACGGACAGAUGGAUGGAUGGAUUUGGUCCCACGGCAAACAUCGCGCUGGGAGCUUUUGCCGGAUCCUGCUGCUUUGUGGCGUUUCUUAGCAAAGACCAAAAAUAAAGAUAAUAAUAAAAAAAAAAGGAGAGCAGCGAUGCGCGGCGGGCUCGUUUGGAAGCACAAAACGAUAUUUUCUUAGCGGCGUGGGAUGAUGCCCUGGGAAUAUGUCUAAUUUUUAUUUGAAAUUUGUCUGAUUUUUAUUUUUUUAAGUAAAAAAAAAAAAAAGUCUGUGCAACCUCUGCUGUGGGGACGGAGGGGAGGCAGGAUGGGACUGGGUGGAGGCUGACACUGCCGUGAUAGCGCAGGGGAAGGAAGAGGAGCUCUCCUAGAGGAUGGAGAGGCAAGGGAUGGAUGAAGCCCGGUCCCAGCCCUUCGGAGCUAGGAAGAGAGGCAACUAGGCGGCCGCUACGAGAAGCAGCGAAGGUGUGAGGGUGGGUUUUUGGGAACUGGUCUUGUCCCGGAGCCCUCCCAGCACCUGGGGGGGGACCGCCCUAACCCUGCCCGCCCCGCCGGCACCGGGGCUGCCUGGCGCGGCCGUCGGAGCCUCUCCUCCGCGCCUUGCGCUGCUUUUAACACCGCCUUUUUCUUUUUUCCUUUUUUUUUUUUUUUUUAAAAAAAAACACUUUUAGUGUCUUUAAAAAAAAAAAAAAAAAAAAAAAAAAAGGUUGAAAUCAUUAACCAGGCGGUUAAAAAAAAAGACACUUCUAGUGUCUUUUUAAAAAAAAAAAAAAAGGUUGGAAUCAUUAACCAGGCGGAGCUCGGGCAAAUAAAAAAGAAGCUGCAGAUCAUUAUUAAAAAAAAAAAAAGGAAAGGAACCCGCUCUCAACCACCUAUCCCAUAAAAAAUCCGCUGGUGUGAGUGUCGGGGUUUGAAAGCCCCCGGGGAAAUCACCCCAAAGCACGGCGGAUCAGGUCCCGGUGGUGGUGGGGGGAGCACCGGCAGGCUGCAGGGGGAAAGGACCCCCGGAUCUCCCCCUCUCCGCCGUCCGGGGGAGGCUGCCCGGGGCCGGGGAGCAGCCGGAGGGCCGGAUCCUGCCUCCUGCAGCCGGCGGGCAAGGCUGGAGCUGCAGGCCGGCCUCGGAGCGGGGGUUUUGGGGAAAGGACAGAUAAAAAAAUAAAAGAAAUGGAGUGAGAUGGAGUGAAAUGUAAUGAAAUGAAAAGAAGAGAAAUGAAAUAAAUGAAAUAAAAAAAUGAAAUGAAAUGAAAUGAAAUGAAAUGAAAUGAAAUGAAUAAAAUAAAAUAAAAUAAAAUAAAAUAAAAUAAAAUAAAAUAAAAUAAAAUAAAAUAAAAUAAAAUAACCCAUCCGGGGCCGGUGCCCGCGGCGGUGGCUCAGCCCGCUUCAAUGUCACAGCCGCCGGGGACUGGAAUCGCUCCGUAUCACGGGGUGGCCUUGAUAAAAGGGUAUUUUAAGGAGCUCGGAUAAGGGAGCGAGAGCAGAGCGGGGGGAAGCUGCCGGCACGUCGCCUGCAAUACCCGCUGGGCUUAUCAGCCCGGCCUAAACUCGCCGGCAGUUUCUGAAGUACAUUAAGUUACAUAAACACGGCUCGGGGAAGAACUCGCUCCACGCCGCGACAGUCCCCAAAGUGACCCCCGGUCGGGGCUGCCCGCUGCGGGGACCGGCCCUGCACCGAGCUGGGGGCCGGGGAAGGAGCGGGCAGGGCGCGCCCGCAGACGGCUCUCCCCCACCCCUUUUUUGGGAGGCCGAAGUGCCCGUGAGGGGCUUUGCCUUAAUUGGAUGCAAACCCUUUUAGUAUUUUUUUUUUUUAAAUCAUCCUUCCCUUUUUGGCCACGACGGGCAGUUCCUUGCUGCCUCGGCUCCCCGGGGUGCCUCCAAGCUCCGAGCAUCCCCCUGCGGGGCUUCCCUCGGCCCCAAAACCCCCGCACCCCAUCGCGCAUCCCGCCCUGGUGCCACCGCCCCGCCGUGUGCCCCGGGCUGAAAAUGACGUCACGCGGGGAUUUGGGAAGGCGGUGACGUCACGAAGAAGGAGCAGCCGAGGGCUGGACCCGGGGGCAGAGCUGAAAGGAGACGAAGAGAGGGUGGAGGGGCAAGGGGUGCGUGGGGGCGGUUUGCCACGCUGGUCCCAGUCCGGCUGGGCUUGCUAAAUGGGAAAAUUAAGGAAUUGCAAUUAAUAUUAAUUAAUAAAGCACAGUUACGGGGUGCGGCGGCAACCCAGCUGGGACGAAGCGGCGUUUGCAUCUUUCCCCCGCUCCUGGAGCGUAUUUUUUAUUUUAUUUUAUUUUAUUUUUAAGUGAAAACACGUAAAAAAAAGGUAAAAUUAAAUAAAGUGGCAAAUUCGUGUCGGCAGAAAAGGCAGGGAAUUUCGAGACGACGAAGCGUUUUCUGUUGAAAAUUACACCCACGAAAGUGCAUCUAAAAGUCAACAAGGUUAAAAAUAAAAGAAAAAGUCCCUCCAAUCUUCCUUUUUAUCAGGCAGGGCGACCCGAGGAGCGCUGUUCAUUAGCCAGAAGUUCAUUAGCCCGCCUUUAAUCACACAGUCCACCAGGGAACCGGCUCCCCAGGCACCCGCUCGUCCCUCCCCGACCCCUGCCGCGACAUCCCCGCAAUCACGGCGCGCGAUAAAGCCUCGCUGUCGCGACACGUCCCCCCCCUCCCAGGCGCCGGCGGAGCAGCUGGCUGCCCCGUGCGACAUCCCCCAGCCUCUGUCGUCGCCUGCCCCGGUCACCUUUGCCUUGCGACCCCCCAGGAGAAGCGGGGCCCGGGGCCCGGGCUGGAUGCGGCCCCGGCGAGCCCGGGCUGAGCUCUGCUGGCAGCCCUGGCCGCGGAUGCGUCUUUCUGGAGGGACUGAUGAUGACAGAUACCCAGCUGAUAACCUCUGGCGAACCGAGUUAUUUUAAUUUCCAGUCACUUUCCUGCUAAGUGCCGUAUCGGUUUGUACACAGCUGAGAUAAGAGGAUAGGGCUGGGGGGGGAAGGGGGGAGGAAGGGUUAAAGGGAGAGGUUUUGGGGGGGAGAAAAAGGGAAGAAUGAGAAAAAAAACAGCGGAAAAAUGCCUACCGCCUGCUGCUGGCUUGGCCACAUCCUACGGCCGGCUUUGGCUUCACCUGAUGGCUGGGGCAGCUCAAGGAGGAGCCACGGUUUUUUCCUCUCGGAUGGCUCUGAUUAUAAGAAUCGGGAGAUUUGGGGUCGUUCACCCGAUCCCUUACAGCGGGAGCCAAGGGCAGCUCCUCCG